ACAUCCAUGUGACUACUAUCUUUGGUCACGCUCAGUACCUUGUUCUCUAACAAGUACUCGCAUAAUCACUCCAGUGUCUCUACAUCGUGGACUCGAGACUCGUCCAUCUGACUAAGUGAUCUGUACACUAAUCUCAGCGGAUCGAUCACCGUCCCUCAUGAUGGAUCCAUUGAUCAGGAGCAUUUAAAAAUUAAUCCCUAAUGACACAUGCCUCAAAUUCUCAAGUUCUUGAGAAUAUGUGUCUUCAUCUAUUAAUUUCUUGGACGACUCAUGGACACAUACAAACAUGAAUGAAAAACAAAUUGUCCAAUCUUAUUUAUUAAUAAGUAUCAAAUUACAAAUUUAUGCCCCGGAUUACAAAUAUGCGUCAUCCACGUUGGCUUCUAGGGCAUACUUCUAACAGCUUUGUGUUCAAAUUAGCAAAAUCUUGGCCAGGAUAAUCCUUAUGAUGAGUCACAUAAUUUCUAAAGUUGAUCACAUAGUGGAUGUACUGAUUAGAGAGUUAACAGAACUCUAAGGUCAUUCUAGCAUUAGGAGUCAAAGGGAUGAAUUAUACAGUAACCAUAGUCUAGGAUUUCAGAAUAUUUGCUUUGCAUAUAUUCGACCUAUCCGGACGUCGGGUACCAUUGCUAGAUGGUCACAUCGAUUAGUGCAGGAAGUCGUUCCUGUACUACCGGCUUAGGUUCGAACCUAUAAGGUCACACGCAUAGAAACUUCCUGAUUGAUCAAGAUGGCUGAUGGAUGAUUGAGAAUCAUUCAGGAAUAAUUUGGUCAAUUCGAUUGGCAAAUUAUCCUAUAAAAUAAUUAAAGCAAUUAUUGGAGGAUUAGUUAGUAAUUAGAUUUCUAAUAAACUCAAUUUGAUUGAGUAAAUGGACUAAGGAUGAGCCAAAUUGAAUUGGAUUCAAUUUUAGGUUCAAUCAAAUUUUGACCUGAUUGGGGUCGACUCAAAGUAAAGAGGGGUCGACUCGAGAUGGGGUCGACUCGAGAUGGGCUGGGGUCGACUCUUUCAGAGAAUCCAGAGGACGACUAUUGUCCGAUUCCUGUUUACCCAAAAAUACGCUAAACAGAUCAUUGUUAGAACCGACAAACAAAGUUUAAUUUAAUUUUACUCUUACCUUUUCUACUCGAAGAAUAGUGGUCGUAAGAGGUCGAUCCACAGGGAGGUGAUUGGAGUUGCAUAAAAAUUAAAACGUUCACUCGGAUUCAAAAUCAAUUUUUGAAUGAUAGAAGAAAAACAUUACUUUGAGGAUGUUGAAUGAUUCUCUGGUCUACCAGAGAAUGUUUUCUAAUUGAAAUUAACUACAAGACAGGUAGUCAGAUUCAAAGAGCAUUUAUAUAUUUAACUAAUCAAAAAAGAGCUUUGGCAUAAAUUAAAAUGGAUGAAAACAGUGCUAAGAAGAUCAAAGCCUGGAACAUAAAUUGCAUAAAAGAAAAUUUAAUGCAUUGCAUAAAAAGUAGAAAUUAAACUGAACCUAGAAUAUGGAUUGCAUG
rnacentral:lncRNA from 1 species